UACGGGGGGAGCAAGCGUUGUUCGGAUUUACUGGGCGUAAAGGGCGCGUAGGCGGCUUGGCAAGUGGAUGGUGAAAUCCCUCGGCUUAACCGAGGAACUGCCGUCCAAACUGCUUUGCUUGAGGCCGGGAGAGGCGAGUGGAAUUCCCAGUGUAGCGGUGAAAUGCGUAGAUAUUGGGAGGAACACCAGUGGCGAAGGCGGCUCGCUGGACCGGUUCUGACGCUGAUGCGCGAAAGCGUGGGGAGCAAACGGG
rnacentral:rRNA from 1 species